UUUAUCAGAGAGUUUGAUCCUGGCUCAGGAUGAACGCUGGCGGCGUGCCUAACACAUGCAAGUCGAGCGAAGCGCCUGCUUUUGAUUCUUUCGGGAUGAAGAAGCUUGCGACUGAGCGGCGGACGGGUGAGUAACACGUAGGCAACCUGCCUCACACAGGGGGAUAACAGUUAGAAAUGACUGCUAAUACCGCAUAAGCGCACAGGGC
rnacentral:rRNA from 1 species